CCGCCCUUCUUCAGGUCGAGGUUGAUGCUGAUCAUCCCGGGCCUGAAGUCGAAGUUCUCCUUCACGAUCUUGAGGAUCUCCUUGUCGGGGAUCGUGCCGGUGCCGUACGAGUUGACGAACACGGACAGGGGCUCCGGCACGCCGAUGGCGUACGACACCUGCACGAGGCAGCGGCGGGCGAGGCCGCUGGCCACGAUGCUCUUGGCGGCCUGCCUGGCCACGUAGGCGCCGCUGCGGUCCACCUUGGUGGGGUCCUUGCCGGAGAAGGCGCCACCGCCGUGGGCUCCCCAGCCGCCGUACGUGUCGAUGAUGAUCUUGCGGCCGG
rnacentral:lncRNA from 1 species